ACACGAGUUCUUCUUGUUGUCUACAAUUCAGUCAUUUUGUGACUGAAGGGCAUUUCUCUCAGGAAAACCCCACUUCUUGUGUCAUAUACAAGUAAUUUAGAACAUUUAAUGUCCUCCAACUCACACACUGACCACAAUAUAUAUAUUUUUUUGUUGUAAUAUGUGGUCAGAGUUAAUGCUUGUAUUUUAGCUGGGGGUACUUCAGUCAAGUAGCCUGCUUUCGUCCAACUCGGGUCUUCUUGGGGCCCUAUCAAGCCUGUUUUCGAUAUCUCCCUCCUCGAACACACCUUGUAUCAAAUGAUUAGCUCAUCAACAAGGAAUCAAUCAGGUGUGUUGAUUGAGGUAUACAUCUAAAACGUGCUGGUUAGCAGCAUUCGAGGAUGGCGAUUGGAUUGUAUUCUUUGCUAUAUGCUAGCAAACCAACUGUUAGCAUUUUAGCAACAGUCAUUCACAACGAAGCCAUUGUAAGAUGUUAAACUUUGUUCAGGCCAGUUUAAAGUUUAAAAUAGGUCUCCAGGGACAAGCCUAAUUCAAAAAUUUGGUCUUUACAUUUUAUUAUUUUUGUCCAUAACAGCCCAUUAGUUAGUAGGAUGCAGAAUUGUUAGUUAGCCUGCAAUGGGUGAUCAAUACGAAUGGACAACUGGACUAAUCAAGUUGGGCCGCCAGGCAAAAUGAAGAUUUCUACUCAUUAGAAUUAAACACUUUUUCUUUUUAAAGCCUGUCAGUUUUAAAAGUGGUACAGUACCAGGAGUAAAUCUCAUCAAGCUUCCUUGUCACAACCAAACUGAAGUCAAAAACAUGUCAAUCACUCUGAAUUGCCUUAAUUGACCUGCGUAUCAUUUGACUCGGUUCCUUCCAGCCUCUUUUGAGACCUAAAAAGAAGCCUUAAUCAUGCAGAUUCAAAAUAUCAAUGACAGCACGCGGCACAUGAAUAACCUCUUUCUCUUUGCAUAAAUCACUUCGUAAAUCCGAAAGUGGCAACUCAACAGUGAGCAUGACGUGGUACGAAGAUGGAACGGAGACUUAUUGUCUACCAACAAGGUUAUGCGAGAAGAUCCUGACUCCGUGGGGGAAAAAGGAAGUCAUCCAAGUUAGCUUUCACAAAGUACACCGAUGUAUAACGACAGCCACAUCUGCUUUUUUUGUUCAUAUGUCCCGUCUCUGUGUCACGUACACCAGCUCACACACUUCCUCCACUAUCUUUUUUUUAUUGAUUCUUAAUGUAAAGCAUUUAGGCGAUUUUUGGAAAGCGCUAAGUAAAAUGUGUUCAAUGAUCAUGGCAUUUUCUGUACUUAACCUGAGCACCGAGGAAAAAAGUAUCAUGUAGUUGACCCACAAGAGUACGGGACAUAGAUUCAUUGAAUCACAGGUCAAAUAGCUUAAAAUUAGUU